GAACCUUACCUGGGUUUGACAUGCACAGGACGCCGGUAGAGAUAUCGGUUCCCUUGUGGUCUGUGUGCAGGUGGUGCAUGGCUGUCGUCAGCUCGUGUCGUGAGAUGUUGGGUUAAGUCCCGCAACGAGCGCAACCCUUGUCCUAUGUUGCCAGCGGGUGAUGCCGGGGACUCGUAGGAGACUGCCGGGGUCAACUCGGAGGAAGGUGGGGAUGACGUCAAGUCAUCAUGCCCCUUACGCCCAGGGCUGCACACAUGCUACAAUGGCCGGUACAAAGGGCUGCUAUCCCGCGAGGGUGAGCGAAUCCCAAAAAGCCGGUCUCAGUUCGGAUUGCAGUCUGCAACUCGACUGCAUGAAGUCGGAGUCGCUAGUAAUCCCGGAUCAGCAACGCCGGGGUGAAUACGUUCCCGGGCCUUGUCACACCGA
rnacentral:rRNA from 1 species